rnacentral:tRNA from 10 species
GGGCGCGUAGCUCAGCGGGAGAGCAUCGCCUUCACACGGCGGGGGUCGUAGGUUCAAUCCCUACCGCGCCCACCA